GGCUGGAUGGCUUAGUUGGUUUAGCAUUGGCCUUGUACGCCCAAGUUUUCAGGUUCGAUCUGAUUUAAGUUG